GCAUCUUUUUCACAGAGACACCACCUGCAGAAUCACCAGAGAGCCUCCUGAGCAGCAGCCUUCAUCCUCCUCAUCCUCCAUCAGAGCUGCAGAAUCACAAACAGCACAGGUUUCUGUCAGCUGAUUGGCCCUCUCCAACAUGCUCCGCCCUCUGCUCUGCCUGUGUGCUCUCAUUGCACUGACAGGUGCUCAGUGGUUCUAUCAGUCUUCAGUGGUGGACAUCAGCUCAUGUCCCAUCACGUAUUAUGGACAGCAGUACGAGCAGCUCUAUGUAAACAUAACAUCUGGAAAUGUUACCGUCUGUUUCAACGGCUUUUUCAGUCCUGAAACUGGAGGCGACUGUGUUGUGGAGCAUUCACGGGG